rnacentral:tRNA from 1 species
GCUCAGUGGUAGAGUGUGUGCCUAGCAUGCACGAGGUCCUGGGUUCAAUCCCCAG